UGUGAGAGCGGGCUUGCUCGCGAAAGCGGUGUGUCAGUCAAUACAUGUGUCUCUGAUACUCCGCCUUCGCGAGCAAGCCCGCUCCCACA
rnacentral:antisense_RNA from 1 species